rnacentral:rRNA from 1 species
UACGUAGGGUGCAAGCGUUGUCCGGAAUUAUUGGGCGUAAAGAGCUCGUAGGCGGCUCGUCGCGUCGGCUGUGAAAACGCGGGGCUCAACUCCGCGCCUGCAGUGGGUACGGGCAGACUAGAGUGCAGUAGGGGAGACUGGAAUUCCUGGUGUAGCGGUGGAAUGCGCAGAUAUCAGGAGGAACACCGGUGGCGAAGGCGGGUCUCUGGGCUGUAACUGACGCUGAGGUGCGAAAGCGUGGGGAGCAAACAGG